GGAGACGCGACAGCGGGAGCGAGCGGAGAGUUUUGUGCGCGUAUCACAGACAGACAUACAUACAUACAGAGAAAGAGAUAGAGGGAGAUAUGCUGAUACUGGACGUUUGAAGAAGUUUACGUACGGCCAAAAAUCACGUCCUUUCUGUGGCAGCUGUGUGCGCGGAUGUUAAGGAAUUCUUACAGCAUGGCAAAGUGAAGGUCUGAAUGCUGUGGUCUUGGCAUCCUGGAGUGCUGGACAUGUGUCAUUGAGCACAGUGUGUUCUGUCUCUGUUUUUCCUGUACUGGAGAACCCUGCAGUAAACAAGCAUGCAAGGCACAGGU